rnacentral:misc_RNA from 1 species
UUUUUUUUUUUUUUUUAAUUGGCAACUAUAUGCAGAUGCCUUGGGCAAUCAAGGACUGUGUGAACAAGCAUCAAGUUUUAUAUCUUGAGAUAGGGUCACAAGAGGUAGAUGAGACAUUCAUGUGAAAAAUUGACAACCUACCUAUUCCUCCAAUUGUAACAUGCAACUUCCAUCGCCUGGAAUUGUUAUGUCUUUGGCGAAUGUGUAAUUUCAGCCUGUUUCUGCCUGAGAAGCAAUGUGAAUGAAUGCAUAGAGGAUAACUCAAAUUUAGCUCUUUAUCUGAUUUUGGUUUGAGUUGAAAUAUCCUUCAAUGCCAUACUUCUG